CUGGUUUCAGGUGGUGGAUAGUACCCAGAUUGGAAUGAUCUAAGCACCAGUUGAAAUCAGAGC
rnacentral:pre_miRNA from 1 species